AUUGAACGCUGGCGGAAUGCUUUACACAUGCAAGUCGAACGGCAGCACGGACUUCGGUCUGGUGGCGAGUGGCGAACGGGUGAGUAACAUAUCGGAACGUAUCCAAUAAUGGGGGAUAACGAGUCGGAAGAUUCGCUAAUACCGCAUACGCCCUACGGGGGAAAGCUGGGGACCUUCGGGCCUGGCGUUAAUGGAGCGGCCGAUAUCUGAUUAGCUAGUUGGUGAGGUAAAGGCCCACCAAGCCAACGAUCUGUAGCUGGUCUGAGAGGACGACCAGCCACACUGGAACUGAGACACGGUCCAGACUCCUAUGGGAGGCAGCAGUGGGGAAUUUUGGACAAUGGGCGAAAGCCUGAUCCAGCCAUUCCGCGUGCAGGAUGAAGGCCCUCGGGUUGUAAACUGCUUUUGUACAGAACGAAAAGGUUUCUACUAAUACUAGGAGCUCAUGACGGUACUGUAAGAAUAAGCACCGGCUAACUACGUGCCAGCCGCCGCCGUAA
rnacentral:rRNA from 1 species